rnacentral:rRNA from 1 species
UACGGGGGGGGCAAGCGUUGUUCGGAAUUACUGGGCGUAAAGGGCUCGUAGGUGGCCAACUAAGUCAGACGUGAAAUCCCUCGGCUUAACCGGGGAACUGCGUCUGAUACUGGAUGGCUUGAGUUUGGGAGAGGGACGCGGAAUUCCAGGUGUAGCGGUGAAAUGCGUAGAUAUCUGGAGGAACACCGGUGGCGAAGGCGGCAUCCUGGACCGGUAUUGACGCUGAGGCGCGAAAGCGAGGGGAGCAAACAGG